rnacentral:rRNA from 1 species
UACAGGGGGGGCAAGCGUUGUUCGGAAUUACUGGGCGUAAAGGGUCUGUAGGUGGCUUGCUAAGUCAGACGUGAAAUCCCUCAGCUUAACUGGGGAACUGCGUCUGAUACUGGCGAGCUUGAGUGCAGGAGAGGAACGCGGAAUUCCAGGUGUAGCGGUGAAAUGCGUAGAUAUCAGGAGGAACACCGGUGGCGAAGGCGGUUCUCUGGGCAUGUCCUGACGCUGAGGAGCGAAAGUGUGGGGAGCGAACAGG